rnacentral:rRNA from 1 species
AGUCACUGACAUUAGAUACCCCCGUAGUCCAGGGUGUAAACGCUGCAGACUUGGUGUUGGAAGUCCUUUGGGGGCAUUCAGUGCCGGAGAGAAGUUGUUAAGUCUGCUACUUGGGGAGUACGUCCGCAAGGAUGAAACUUAAGGAAUUGGCGGGGAGCACCGCAACGGGAGGAGCGUGCGGUUUAAUUGGAUUCAACACCGUAAACUCACCAGGGAAGACUGUUACAUGAAAGCCGAGAUGAAGACUCUGCUAGAUUUUCAG